rnacentral:rRNA from 1 species
GACGAACGCUGGCGGCGUGCCUAAUACAUGCAAGUUGAGCGCUGAAGGUUGGUACUUGUACCAACUGGAUGAGCAGCGAACGGGUGAGUAACGCGUGGGGAAUCUGCCCUUGAGCGGGGGACAACAUUUGGAAACGAAUGCUAAUACCGCAUAAAAACUUUAAACACAAGUUUUAAGUUUGAAAGAUGCAAUUGCAUCACUCAAAGAUGAUCCCGCGUUGUAUUAGCUAGUUGGUGAGGUAAAGGCUCACCAAGGCGAUGAUACAUAGCCGACCUGAGAGGGUGAUCGGCCACAUUGGGACUGAGACACGGCCCAAACUCCUACGGGAGGCAGCAGUAGGGAAUCUUCGGCAAUGGACGAAAGUCUGACCGAGCAACGCCGCGUGAGUGAAGAAGGUUUUCGGAUCGUAAAACUCUGUUGGUAGAGAAGAACGUUGGUGAGAGUGGAAAGCUCAUCAAGUGACGGUAACUACACAGAAAGGGACGGCUAACUACGUG